AGCGCCCCUCGGCCCGCGCUGCGUCCGCCCCGCACGCCGGCUCCCGGCCCGGAACCCCCGCACCCCGGCCGGCCGCCCGCGCCGACGCCCCGCCCCCGGGUCCCGCCGCCCGCGCUCCCACCCCAGCCCCGCCGGGCCGAGCCGGGCCCCGGGCCCAGGGGCUGGCGAGCUUCGCCGGGCCGGAGGGCGGCGUCGGAGCCGGCGGCCAAGCGGGCUGCGGGGCGCGCGGCGGGCCAUGGAGGUGGAGGAGGCGUUCCAGGCCGUGGGGGAGAUGGGCAUCUACCAGAUGUACUUGUGCUUCCUGCUGGCUGUGCUGCUGCAGCUCUAUGUGGCCACGGAGGCUAUCCUCAUUACUCUGAUCGGGGCCACGCCGUCGUACCACUGGGACCUGGCAGAGCUCCUACCUAAUCAGAGCCAUGGCAACGAGUCAGCUGGUGAAAACCAGGCCUUUGGGAACUGGCUGCUCACAGCCAACGGCAGCGAGAUCCACAAGCACGUGCAUUUCAGCAGCAGCUUCACCUCCAUCGCCUCGGAGUGGUUCUUAAUUGCCAACAGAUCUUACAAGGUCAGUGCAGCAAGCUCCUUCUUCUUCAGUGGUGUGUUCGUUGGAGUAAUCUCUUUUGGUCAGCUGUCAGACCGCUUUGGAAGGAAAAAAGUCUAUCUCACAGGUUUCGGUCUUGACAUCUUAUUUGCUAUUGCAAAUGGAUUUUCCCCUUCAUAUGAGUUCUUUGCAGUAACUCGCUUCCUGGUGGGCGUGAUGAAUGGAGGGAUGUCUCUGGUGGCCUUUGUCUUGCUGAAUGAGUGUGUGGGCACCGCCUACUGGGCACUCGCAGGAUCGAUUGGCGGCCUCUUCUUUGCAGUUGGCAUCGCCCAAUAUGCCCUGUUAGGGUACUUCAUCCGCUCCUGGAGGACCCUAGCCGUUCUGGUUAACCUGCAGGGGACAGUGGUCUUUCUCUUGUCUUUAUUCAUUCCUGAAUCACCUCGUUGGUUAUACUCCCAGGGUCGACUGAGUGAGGCUGAGGAAGCCCUGUACCUCAUCGCCAGGAGGAACCGGAAGCUCAAGUGCACAUUCUCACUGAGACAUGCGACCAACAGGAGCUGCAGGGAGACUGGAAGUUUCCUGGAUCUCUUCCGUUACCGCGUCCUCUUAGGGCACACUCUGAUCCUGAUGUUCAUCUGGUUUGUGUGCAGCUUGGUGUAUUAUGGCCUGACCCUGAGUGCAGGUGAUCUAGGUGGAAGUAUUUAUGCCAACCUGGCCCUGUCUGGCCUCAUAGAGAUCCCAUCUUACCCUCUCUGCAUCUACCUGAUAAACCAAAAAUGGUUUGGCCGGAAGCGGACAUUAGCAGCAUUUCUGUGCCUAGGAGGACUGGCUUGUCUUAUUGUAAUGUUUCUUCCAGAAAAGAAAGACACAGGUGUGUUUGCAGUGGUGAACAGUCACUCCUUGUCCUUGCUGGGGAAGCUGGCGAUCAGUGCCGCAUUUAACAUCGUCUACAUCUACACCGCGGAGCUAUACCCCACGGUCAUCAGGAAUGUUGGGCUUGGAACUUGUUCCAUGUUCUCCCGAGUUGGUGGAAUUAUCGCUCCCUUCAUCCCCUCACUGAAAUAUGUGCAGUGGUCUCUGCCUUUCAUUGUCUUUGGAGCCACCGGCUUGGCCUCGGGCCUCCUGAGUUUAUUACUGCCAGAAACCCUUCACAGUCCACUGCUGGAGACGUUUUCAGACUUUCAGGUGUAUUCCUAUCGCAGGCUCGGGGAGGAAGCCCUAUCUCUGCAGACCCUGGAUCCUCCACAGUGUGUGGACAAGGAGAGCCCUGUAGGGAGUGAGAGUGAGGAAGAGGAGGAAUUUUAUGACGCCGAUGAAGAAACUCAGAUGAUCAAGUGAAGACCCUGCAGAUUCCUCCUCGGAAGCAAAGGUUGUGUUUCAUGCCUCUGGCUAAGACACCAAGGGAAGUUGGAGAAGAGAUUUCACGAGAGAUGACAUCACUGCAUUGAAGGAAUAUUUGUUAAUUUGUCCACAAUUCAAGUUGAGCUCAGAAUCGUGACCUCUGGUAAAUUGCUGAAAUCUGCCUUCCGGAGUGUCAAGCUGAUGCGUUUCUGGAGGUUGAUCAUGUUGCUUUCCCUUCAUGAUUACCUAAAGGCAGAUACGUAACAUUUUUCACUACCAUAGUGGGGUAAGAUAAAUGAUCCUUAAGAUUGAAUCUUUAGCUGGGUGUGGCGGCCCAUGCCAGUAAGUCCCAGCACUUUGGGAUGCUGAGGUGGAAGGAUCACCUGAGGCCUGGGCAACAUAGUGAGACCUCUUCUCUAUAAAAAUGUUUAAAAAGUAGCUUUGUGCGGUUAUGUGUACUGAGGUCCCAGGUACUUCGGAGGCUGAGGAGAGAGGGUCGCUUGAGCCCUGGAAUUUGAGGCUGCAGUGAGCUAUGAUCUUGCCACUCACUCUGGGCAACAGAGUGAGAUCCUGUCUGUAAAAAGAAAGUUUUUAAAAAUGUUGGUACCGGUGCCUGUGGCUCAAAGGAGUAGGGCGCCAGCCCCAUAUGCCGGAGGUGGCGGGUUCAAACCCAGCCAGGGCCAAAAAAUACAAAAAAAAAAAAAAAAUUGGUACCAUGUUUGGCAGUUGCUCCUUAUCAGGAAUCUUCUGAUGCAGAUUGGUGUCAGCAUGUCAACUCUGUGUCUAAGGAAAAGCACUCUGACGUCAUUUGUGUGCCCCGCGGCCCCGCGGCUUUAUCUCUGCUGACAAAAUUAGAGUCCUCAAGUGGGUUCCCAGCCUGUUGGUUGAUUUGGGCUUCUUAUACUUUUAGCCUGAAGAUGACUCAUUCCUAAAACCCAGAUGUACCAAAGCAGUUUACUUCGAGGCAGAGGUAUGGCUAUGGCUCCCUGUUAGCCUUGUGAUACUUAAAUUGUGUAGUUUCUUCAGUUCCCACUUAGAGUCUAGUACUUCAAAGUCAUGCACAGUAAAUGAUAAAGCUUAAAGUAGAAGGCAGUUACAGAGCGCUAUGUAGCUCACACCUACAAUCCCAGCACUGUGGGGGGCCGAGGCCAGAGGAUCACUUGAGAUCAGGAGUCAGCCUGAGCACCAUGGCCAGACCCACUGGGUGUGGUGCUGUACAUCUGCCGUCUCAGCUACUCAGGGGGCAGAGGCAGGAGGAUCCCUGGAGCCUAGGGGGGCAGAGGCAGGAGGAUCCCUGGAGCCUAGGGGUUGGAGGUUGCAGUGGGUUGUGAUUGAGCCACUGCACUUCACCCUGGGUGAUGGGGUGAGACCCUGUGUCAAAACAAACAAAAAAAGAAAAGAGUCAAAAUCAUGUGACACGUUGAGCAUGUAGGUGUAAAGAAAAAUGGUGCAGUUUUUAAUAAGGGAGAAAAGAAAACUAUCCUUCACAUUUUUUUGUUUGUUUUGCUUCUAGUGUUGUGCAGUGGGGGACUUUGGGCAGCAUUUAAUAACCUAAGCUCUUCCUGUCCUGGAGCAGCCCGUGCCUCUUGACCCAGCAUGGAAGGCUCAGUAGUUUCAUAGGAAGCAUUGGUUUUUUUCAUUACAUACUGUCAACUUUCAAAUGCCUCAAAAUCAUGCUUAGUUUCCUAAAAUCAUAUGCUGAAAAUAUUUUCCCACAAAACUUGAAAACCAUCUCAAGUAGGAGAAUAAACCUGGAGACAAGCUUAGGCAGCCUUGUUCUAGGUCACUUUCCCAACCAUGUUGGGAAAAGUCCCAACCGGACGUCCAUGUUUCAGACUUUCUGUUUCUGCUAAUCUCUUGGUGAAAAAGUAAUUGCAUUCGAGAUAAAGAGAAGAUGUCACUGUGGUUACUUCUGGAAAUCUCGGGAGCACCAUCCCCAGAUGGCUCCAGAUACUCCCCUGCUCUCCCAUGCUGACGUCCUGGUUUGCACUACGUCAGUGUGUACCUUUGAAUUUUUAAAACUAUUUUUAAGUCCUUUAUGCCCUUAAUUAUGUAUUGAGCUCUUCAUAAACAGGGCCCAUGUCUACUGCUGUUUAUUUCACCCUGCCAGGCCCAGAACAUGGGUUUAGACAGAGUAAGGACCUAAUAAAUAUUACUGUUUCUAGCCGGCAGGGGGAUCGUGGAACUCUCCCAGUCUUCAUUUUUGCAAAUCUUAACCAAAUUGUGGACUCCUGUUUGUCUUUCUCUGGAAAAUGAAGACCUGGUCACCAUCAGGAUAGGGAGAGGAAGAACUUACAGAGACACAUGGAAAUUCUUAAACAGUUGAGCAUUUAAAAUAAAAUAGUGAACUAAUGUAUAUAUAAUCUUUGAUUGACAGAGGCUUUCUUUGUAUUAUAAGAAUAACAUAUUCCAUUAUGGAAAAUUUGGAAAUUAGAAAUUUUAAAAUGCAUCACCCAUAGACCCAACAUCCAGAGACAGCCUGCGGGACAGCCUUGUUCCAUGUGAAGACCAACCGGGCGUCCAUCUGUCUAUGGGCACUGGGUGUCGUCCCCUCUCUGCUCUGAGCUGUAAGAAAGGAGCGAGAGAUGUACAUUUGAAUUAAAAGUCUGAGCUGGCCAUCAGCUGCUAAUGUCAGAUGUGUCUCUAAAUUUUCUUUCUAGAUGGUUCGUUAGCAAAGUUUAAUAAUGACUGUUCUUUAUUUAUACCACUUUUUUAAAAGCAGACUCGUUCCCUUUGGAUAAUAACUGUUGAAGAAUAUUGUUUGUAGAGCGUGCAUGUGUAUAUAUUUGCAUUGAUUAUAUUAUUGGAAAACUUUUAAUUCAUAAGUAACACAUAUUUUGUUUGUACAGAUGAUUUGUAAAAAACUGUCUUUUUUUUUUUUUUUGGCCAGGGCUGGAUUUGAACCCACCACCUCUGGCAUAUGGGACCGGCGCCCUACUCCUUGAGCCACAGGCGCCACCCCUUUUUUAUUCUUUUCAAAAUUAAAUUUCUUUUCUCCUAAACAUAGCAAGAAAAGUGUAAGACCCCAGGGCUUCCAGGGUCAAUGGUCUUAGUAACAGCUUAUCUAGAGCCUUUAUACCACACAGAUAUGUUGAAAGAAACCGUGUUGCAGUUUUCUGACCUUGUGAGUUAACACUACCACUCAUUGGAAAGCCAGUACUUGUCAUCAGGUUGCUUUCAAACAAUGCAGAUAUUCUUUAGUAUUUUAAAAUGAGCAAAUAAAAUAUAAAAAAGUGAAAACAAAGGUUUCUGGGGGGCUGCUUGAAUGAAUAUCAUUUGGACAGGUAUUUUUAUGGGCAAUCAAAUUGAUGAAGAGAAAACGUUAAGUGUGUUUCUCCACACUCUCUCAAGGUAUGUUUGUAAACGCUGCAAAUGUACUGAGCUCCAAAAAAGUGAUGCUUUCAAGACUUAAAAAAAAAUGAUGAAGAGACUUCCAUUAGGUGAUUUUUAUCUUAACAAAUACUAAAAUAAUUGCCACUACUAUAACAGAAGUAAAAUAGAGCUUUCCACAAGGACUCACUCCUUCAUACAAAUUCUUGAUCACUGGUUCUUACAUUGGCAGGGUAUCUAUAAAUUUUUAGAUUUCUUUUUACUAAAUAAAAUGUCGGUGUCUUGGUUUCUUGUGAAUUUAAUAAAGGAUCACAAAACACAGGCCUUUUGUUCUCACAGAACAUCUCAAAAUGUACAGUAACAUCUUUGACAAAUUGGGCAAAUACGGAACCUGCUGGAGAUGAUGGGUGGUAAUGAAAUUGAGAGUCAUGAGUACAAAAGAUAACGAUGUGAGUAAAAAUGCUUUUGAAAGAGAAAAAUACAAAAAUGAUGCCUCAUGGAAAAUCCACUGAAGUUGUGCAUCCCAGAAAAAAGGCCUUAUGAUCAUUACCUCGAUAGAUGCGUGAAGAUUAUUUGACAAAAUCCAGCACCCUUUUAAAAUAAAAGCUAUUGGCAGACUAAGAGUCAAAGGAAGCUUCCUUAACAAAAUAAGGGCUAUUGUAAUAGGUCUGGGGAAGUGGCACACAGCAUCUGUUCACCUUCCUGGUUCUUUGCCUUCAGAUGUUUUUGAUCAUAACCCACAAGAAGUGCUUUUAUAUAUUCAUUGUCCUCCUCCUUUAAAAAUAUGUACAUAAAGUAUAAAACAUAGAUAAAUAUACCUAUACUUGUAUGUGUGUUUGUAACUUUCAUGAAAUAAUACCUAUUCUUGUUAGGCACAUUGAUAAUUUAUAUUCCGUUCUAUUUUUUAAAAUGCAAUUUGUAACCUACUAAAUCAAUUUCAUGACCCACUAAUAGGUUCCAACCCAGAGUUUGAAAUCCACUGUUGUACUCUCUAUCACCGUGUCCAGAGAAGCUUGAAGCUAAGAUGUACAUUUCCUGAACACCUUUGCAACAAGGCCUCUAGGUGCAAUUUAGUUUGGUCAGGCAGAGACAAAUGGAAUUUGGAAAGUGGACGUGAGGUACAGGCCAUAGUUCUGCUGGGUCUUCACAGUGGUAGGAACAUUUGGUUUCCCUAAGGA